rnacentral:rRNA from 1 species
AGAGUUUGAUCCUGGCUCAGGAUGAACGCUGGCGGCGUGCCUAACACAUGCAAGUCGAGCGAGAAACUUAUUAUUGAUUCUUCGGAUGAACUAAUAAGUGGAAAGCGGCGGACGGGUGAGUAACGCGUAGGCAACCUACCUUAUACAGGGGGACAACACACCGAAAGGUGUGCUAAUACCGCAUAACACUUUAGUAUCGCAUGAUACAGAAGUCAAAGAUUUAUCAGUAUAAGAUGGGCCUGCGUCUGAUUAGCUAGUUGGUAAGGUAAAGGCUUACCAAGGCGACGAUCAGUAGCCGACCUGAGAGGGUGAUCGGCCACACUGGAACUGAGACACGGUCCAGACUCCUACGGGAGGCAGCAGUGGGGAAUAUUGCACAAUGGGGGAAACCCUGAUGCAGCAACGCCGCGUGAGCGAUGAAGGCCUUCGGGUCGUAAAGCUCUGUUCUAAGGGAAGAAACCUGACGGUACCUUAGGAGCAAGCCCCGGCUAACUACGUGCCAGCAGCCGCGGUAAUACGUAGGGGGCAAGCGUUAUCCGGAAUCAUUGGGCGUAAAGGGUGUGUAGGCGGCUAUACAAGCUAAGGGUGAAAGGCUACGGCUCAACCGUAGUAAGCCUUUAGAACUGUAUGGCUUGAGUGCAGGAGAGGAGAGUGGAAUUCCUAGUGUAGCGGUGAAAUGCGUAGAUAUUAGGAGGAACACCAGUGGCGAAGGCGACUCUCUGGACUGUAACUGACGCUGAGGCACGAAAGCGUGGGGAGCGAACAGGAUUAGAUACCCUGGUAGUCCACGCCGUAAACGAUGAGUGCUAGGUGUCGGAGCCGCCAGGCUUCGGUGCCGCAGCUAACGCAUUAAGCACUCCGCCUGGGGAGUACGGUCGCAAGACUGAAACUCAAAGGAAUUGACGGGGACCCGCACAAGCAGCGGAGCAUGUGGUUUAAUUCGAAGCAACGCGAAGAACCUUACCAGGACUUGACAUCCCUGUGCCCAUUCCUUAAUCGGAAUCUUCCCUUCGGGGACACAGGUGACAGGUGGUGCAUGGUUGUCGUCAGCUCGUGUCGUGAGAUGUUGGGUUAAGUCCCGCAACGAGCGCAACCCUUGUCUUUAGUUGCCAGCAUUUCGGAUGGGCACUCUAGAGAGACUGCCGGGGAUAACUCGGAGGAAGGUGGGGAUGACGUCAAAUCAUCAUGCCCCUUAUGUUCUGGGCUACACACGUGCUACAAUGGCUGGUACAGAGGGCGGCGAAAGAGUAAUCUUAAGCGAAUCCCAAAAGCCAGUCCCAGUUCGGAUUGUGGGCAGCAACCCGCCCACAUGAAGUUGGAGUUGCUAGUAAUCGCAGAUCAGAAUGCUGCGGUGAAUGCGUUCCCGGGUCUUGUACACACCGCCCGUCACACCAUGGGAGUUGGGGGCACCCGAAGUCAGUGAUUCAACCGUAAGGAGGAAGCUGCCGAAGGUGAAAUCAAUAACUAGGGUGAAGUCGUAACAAGGUAACC